AAUAAAGUGCCUAGUGCAUUGCCGACAUACGCAUUCAGAUGAAAAGCACAUUCCAAGGAAAGAAAACUAUCCAGUGCGCACAUGUAGGUUCAGACGGCAAACAAUGUUUGAGAAUUCAUUCUUGAUGUUGCAAUCCAUUCUGCGAUGUGUAUGUGAGCACCUGAGAUUCAUCGUGUACGUUGACUCUUUGUGGGCAGCGAUAUCAGGGAAACCAGCCCCAAAGCUUACAUUGUGGAUUGAAGACGUGGAGAUUAGGUUUAGCCACUGGGCUAAAUACUGAAGUCUGGAGAAAUAACCCAUCCAUGUUUUGACGCCUUAGUGAUGUUUUGCAUCACCACCUUCCACGAACGUAGAAACUGACGUGAAAUACCUUGAUAUUUUUUUU